GGCUCAGAUUGAACGCUGGCGGCAUGGCUAAAACAUGCAAGUCGAACGAUCCCUUCGGGGAGAGUGGCGAAAGGGCGAGGAAUAUAAUCGAAUGUGUCCUAAGGUUGGGGAUAGCUCUUGGAAACGAGAGGUAAUACCCAAUGUCCUCUACGGAGAAAAGGUUUACCGCCUUUGGAGCAGCGAUUAUCCUAUCAGGUAGUUGGUGAGGUAAAGGCUCACCAAGCCGAAGACGGGUAGCGGGUGUGAGAGCAUGACCCGCCGCAUCGGGACUGAGACACUGCCCGGACUCCUACGGGAGGCUGCAGUAACGAAUCUUCCGCAAUGGGCGAAAGCCUGACGGAGCAAUGCCGCGUGUGGGAUCAAGCAUCUUCGAUGUGUAAACCACUGUCAGAAUCUAGAAAUAAUGAUCAGAUUCAGAGGAAGGGCCGGCUAAUCUCGUGCCAGCAGCCGCGGUAAUACGAGAGGCCCGAGCGUUAUUCGGAAUCACUGGGCUUAAAGCGUACGCAGGCGGAUUUGUAGGUAUCUUGUGAAAUCCCACGGCUCAACCGUGGAACUGCAGGGUAAACCACAAGUCUUGAGACAAGUAGGGGUCAGUGGAACUAUGAGUGGAGCGGUGAAAUGCGUAGAUAUUCAUGGGAACGCCAAUGGCGAAGGCAGCUGACUGGGCUUGUUCUGACGCUCAGGUACGAAAGCGUGGGUAGCGAACGGGAUUAGAUACCCCGGUAGUCCACGCCGUAAACGAUGCACACUAGGUCGCGGUACCUCUCAUGGUUUCGCGGCCGAAGGAAAACUGGUAAGUGUGCCGCCUGGGGAGUACGGUCGCAAG
rnacentral:rRNA from 1 species